GAUGAACGCUGGCGGCGUGCCUAAUACAUGCAAGUCGAGCGAACGGACGAGAAGCUUGCUUCUCUGAUGUUAGCGGCGGACGGGUGAGUAACACGUGGAUAACCUACCUAUAAGACUGGGAUACCUUCGGGAAACCGUAGCUAAUACCGGAUAAUAUUUUGAACCGCAUGGUUCCAAAGUGAAAGACGGUCUUGCUGUCACUUAUAGAUGGAUCCGCGCUGCAUUAGCUAGUUGGUAAGGUAACGGCUUACCAAGGCAACGAUGCAUAGCCGACCUGAGAGGGUGAUCGGCCACACUGGAACUGAGACACGGUCCAGACUCCUACGGGAGGCAGCAGUAGGGAAUCUUCCGCAAUGGGCGAAAGCCUGACGGAGCAACGCCGCGUGAGUGAUGAAGGUCUUCGGAUCGUAAAACUCUGUUAUUAGGGAAGAACAUAUGUGUAAGUAACUGUGCACAUCUUGACGGUACCUAAUCAGAAAGCCACGGCUAACUACGUG
rnacentral:rRNA from 1 species